CAAUUAGUAUCUUAAUAUAAAGAAUUGAUUUUUUAAAUCAAAAUAUAGUAAAUUUACUCUAAUUGA
rnacentral:tRNA from 1 species